CUUUAUACAUGCAAGUCGAACGAUGAAGUUCCUUCGGGAAUGGAUUAGUGGCGAACGGGUGAGGAACACGUGAGAAACCUGCCUUUCAUUCUGGGAUAACACCGGGAAACCGGUGCUAAUACCGGAUACUCCAUCUUGGCGGCAUCGCCGAGCUGGGAAAAAAUUUUGAUGAAAGAUGGUCUCGCGGCCUAUCAGCUAGUUGGUGAGGUAAAGGCUCACCAAGGCGACGACGGGUAGCCGGCCUGAGAGGGCGACCGGCCACACUGGGACUGAGACACGGCCCAGACUCCUACGGGAGGCAGCAGUAGGGAAUAUUGGGCAAUGGGCGAAAGCCUGACCCAGCGACGCCGCGUGAGGGAUGAAGGUCUUCGGAUUGUAAACCUCUUUCAGUAGGGAAGAAGCGAAAGGGACGGUACCUAAAGAAGAAGCACCGGCUAACUAUGUGCCAGCAGCCGCGGUAAUACAUAGGGUGCAAGCGUUGUCCGGAAUUAUUGGGCGUAAAGAGCUCGUAGGUCGUUUGUCGCGUCGAUUGUGAAAAUCUGAGGCUCAACCUCAGACCUGCAGUCGAUACGGGCAAACUAGAGUGUGGUAGGGGAGACUGGAAUUCCUGGUGUAGCGGUGGAAUGCGCAGAUAUCAGGAGGAACACCAAUGGCGAAGGCAGGUCUCUGGGCCAUAACUGACACUGAGGAGCGAAAGUGCGGGGAGCGAACAGGAUUAGAUACCCCUGGUAGUCCGCACCGUAAACGGUGGGCACUAGUUGUGGGAA
rnacentral:rRNA from 1 species